AUCACAGUUUAUCAAUUCCGAAUAGGAACGUGUCAAUUAGCAUGCCGAGUAACGAUGAGUGUUUGUUUGCUACGGAUACGGAACAGAUGACAGGCGAUCGGUGUGUGUUUGCCUGGAAAAUUGAAGGAUGUGUCAAAAUGGAAGCUUAAUUGCCAUUGGGCAAUGGUUAAAUAAUUAACUAAUAUGGCGCGGUCCGAGAAACGGCGUCUUUGCAAGUUUGUCUCUGAAUGGACAUUUAAUAAUGACUAUUCUUCUUGGUUACGUCCAGUGGACGAAGAUAAACAUAAAGCAUAUUGCUUAUUAUGUGAGAAAGUAUUCCCAGUAAGUCAUGGUGGACUUAAUGAUGUGAAAGCUCAUGGGAAGGGGAAAAGACAUAACUUUCUUAAAGAACAGCAGGAAAAUAGAGCAAGAGAAACGUCUGUAGAGUUGAGUUCACCUACGCAGGGGAUUUUCCAGUUUGUCAACCCAAAGGAUCGGAGACGAGUUCUUGAGAAUUAUGCAAAUGUAGUUGUGAAAGAAAGUAACGCUUCAGCCCCGAAGGAGAUUACAAUAAGGAGAGAGGACGAUCUGACAUUGGACUCUGCGAUCAGUGAGAGCGAUUGUUGUUCACUCGGAGAGAUGUCAUCGGCUGGCAAGAUGGAGACGCCGCAACAGUACUGUCUGCGAUGGAAGUACCAUCACUCCAACCUGCAGGUGAUGUUCUCUCAGCUGCUCGAACGAGAAAGCUUCUGUGAUGUCACCCUUGCCUGCGAAGGCAAAACGCUUAGAGCUCAUAAGAUGAUGCUGUCGGCAUGUAGUACUUACUUCGAUUCAAUAUUUUCACAACACGAAGAAAAUAAUCCUAUUGUAAUUUUAAAAGACGUCAAAUUUGCAGACAUUAAAGCACUAGUUGAGUUUAUGUAUAAAGGAGAAAUAAACGUUCAAAAUUCACACCUAUCAUCACUGUUGAAAACGGCCGAAGAGCUGCGCAUCAAAGGACUGGCGGAGGUGUCCUGGCGAUCGGAAGGCGAGGGGUGGCGCAGCGUUGAAGGGGAGGGGGGUGGCCGGGGGCGGCGGGGAGGAGUGGCCUCUUCGGGGGCGGUAUCGGAUGGCGGUGAUUCUGACUCGGAGCCGCCCCCGACUAAGCGGUCCAAGCAGCCGCUGCUGCCCCAGCCUGUGGAGCACUUUGCCGCCUCCCUCAUCAAACAGCAGCAGCAGCACCAAGCCGCCGCCUCCGACCACCUCUUCAACCCCCAGGUCACCAGUGUGCUCGGCAACGUCGCCCUGCACUCGGCUAGGAACGAUUUCAAUGAUAACGGUACCGAUGACAGUGCUUCAGAAUCUCAAGGCUGGGAUCCACCAGUUCAGUCAGACAUUUACACUGGAGACUCGGACAACGCAAGCUCAACCCCUCAUAGUAACCAACAUUUGAAUUCAUCUAGUUUCAAUAUCCAAUCUGCCGACGAAGAAAGAAAUACAUCAUUCCCGCAACAGCCCCAGACUCAACAGGAACAGGCCGCACACCUACCAGAUUUAAGCCAGUACUCGGAUGUGGUGAAAAUGAACGAAUACCUGACACAAGGCGGUCGCCGGCCUCAGUUCUGGGAGGAGCCUUUCACGCGGCGAGUGAUGGAGGCGAUCAAGAACAAAGAGCUGGAAAUGAAAGUGGCCGCCGAACUGAUGGGUGUCUCCUACGGUACUUUGUAUGGACGCUAUAGGGAUGCCUAUGGCUGCCUAAAGCAUCCUUAUAGGUACGAGGACAAAAGCAGGGUACGGGACUUUUGGCUGGAACAGGGUCCGGCCGAGGUGCUCAACAAACUGCAGCGCAAAGAGCUGACUCUGUUCAGGGCGGCCGAAAUGCUCAACGUCACGGUGACCACUCUAGCCAACUACCUGUCGACGCUGCGUCAGAGUGAGACGACGCCAGACGAAGUGGACGAAACGGACGCUGAUGACGACGACUGCGGUAGCGGUGGCGGUGACCGGUUUGCGUCGGCGCGUCACGUGCUCAGCAACAACCCGGACAUCACUAUUGUCAAGCGGGAACCGGGGGCGGCGGCGCUGAACGGUAGCAAGUGACAUCACCAGUGAUUCGAUUCCAUUCAAUUGAUCAGUGGCACAACACAACUUGUCUCUACUACCAACUGAGGUGAGCGAUCAACUUCAUUCAUAAACGAGAACUCGUUCCUACAACCGUUGAACUUCAUUCAUAAACGGUCUCUACAACCAACUGAGAUGAGCUAUCAACUUCAUUCAUAAACACGUCUCUAUAACCGUCAAGGUGAGCGACUAACUUCAUUCAUAAACGAGAAUCCGUCUUACAACCUUUAGCUGCAUUGCUGUGAACGACAAACCUUCAUUCAUAAACAAGAACACUUCUCUUCAACCGUCACGGUUGCCGCUGUGAUAAGCGACUAAAGGUCGUCACACACUCUUAAGGCUCAACUCACAUCUACGUGACUCAGGUCGAGAAGAGACUCGACUCUAGUCGAGAGCAAGUGUUUUCAAACGGUGACAUCGCGGAGACUAGAAUCGACUGGUCUGAGUGUCACCAUUUGGAAACACAUACUCUCGACUAGAGUCGAGUCUCUUCUCGACCUGAGUCGCGUAAGUGUGAGGUGAGCCUAAGAAUACUCUAGGAAUUAAUAGAGUAUUCCUCAAAACACACUCUAGGAAUUCUAGCUAGGAAUACGUCUUCGGAACACGUAGUCAUCCUAUCUCCCAAUGUUCAUUUAUUUAUUUAUUUCAUUGACAAUUACAAAUCAUAAUUACAACAUAAUAUGAUUGGGAGAAGACAACAGGCAUAGCCCAAAAGUUUCUUCUCCCAAAUUUUUACAAAUAAAAGUUUCAAAAAAGAAUGAGGUUAUAAUUGAUGUUAGCUACGCUGCACUUGUGUGAGGACAGAUUGAUUAACAUUGGGAAAUAAGUCGGUUACGUCUUUUGAUGACGUAUUUCAAGCUACACGUAGCUGGGUAUGUGACGACCUUUAGCUGCAUUGAGGUGAGCGACCCAACAGUUUGUAUGAGUUGUUCUGUACUUCUGAAUUAUUAUAAUAAUUGAUGAGUGUGUUGGUAUAUUGCCAAAGCCUCAGUUGUUAUCUAUAUUCAUUAAUUUCUAUUCUGCAUCUAGGAAUGGGAUAUUAUAUUAUUUAUAUCAUUCACUUUGAACAUACAUUAUGUAGGUUCCCACAUACCAGUAUCUGAUUCAGUAAAUGUGUACGGCAUAGGAGAAUAUUAUUUCCAAUAGUUUUUUUAUUUCAAUAGGGCUAAUUGAAAGUUUAAUUUUACAUAAAACAAUUACUAGUAGGCUACCCUUUUUUAUUUUUAUUUUUUUCAAUAUAAAAGGAAAGGCUACCCUUUUUUAUUUUAUUCCUUUUCAAUAUAAAAGGAAAAAUGAAACUAGUAAUUCGAUGUAAUUAAAUUACUCACAUGAGUUCUUAUUGGAUUAUUCAUACUCGCCCGGCCGGGCUGGGUGACAAUAGUCCCAUUAAACUCAUGGAAAUUAAAUUAUCACUUUACCGGAUACUGAUAUGUGGGAUUCCAGCUUAAAGGUGAGUGAACUUCAAGGAUCGUAUUCACAAACGAUAACUUGUGAAGGAUCGUAUUCACAAACGAGAACUUGCCAAGGAUCGUAUUCACAAACGAGAACUUGUCAAGGAUCGUAUUCACAAACGAGAACUUGUCAAGGAUCGUAUUCACAAACGUGAACUUGUUUUUAGAAAAUGAUAUAAAUUGGUGUUUCAUGAACAGUUUUAUGAAUUCUUCGGUAAUGCAUAUUGUUACUAAAACAUCAUGUUCCUUAUGUUUUGCAAAUUUAGGUUACUGAACCUAGAAAGAUUGCAUAGACGAUGCUUUAGUUGAAACUAUUGUACUUGCUGUAAUAUAAGUACAGUUGACUUUAGGGUGCCCGAACCACACUGAACGUGCGUUGCAAGCCUUGCUAUACAGUCAUUGAUUAUUUAUCAUGUAUGUAUGAUUUAAUUCUCUAAAAUCUAUAAUCUGUAAAGUCUUAUGUUUACAAGCUGUUGACAACAGCUUGACACUAAAGCUGCGUUUACACCAAAGUUAUUAACAAAAUGUUAAUAACUUAAUCCUUAUAGAUUCUAUUAGAUUGAACGGAACUUGACAAACACAUAUGUUCAUCAUGUGUAUGCUAAGUUAUGUUCAAUCAAAUAGAAUCUAUAAGGAUUAAGUUAUUAAAUUUUUAUUAAUAACUUUGAUGUAAACGCAGCUUUAGAGUAAUGAAACACGCCUCUGGGGAAAUAAACAAAAUUGAGAAACAAAAAUUUGAAAAAUUCUAAAAAUAAUAUAAAGUGAACACUAGUAAUUCAAUUCUUGUUAUUAAAGUGAAAAGUUGAAAAAGGUACCUACAUAAAACAUUUUAAAAUCUCUAAAAAGCAAAUAGAAAUUUUUGUGGUCCAUGCUUUCUCUUACUCUGCAUGCACACGUUCUUGGCUAUAAGAUCUGAUUGAUAAUGCAGAUUUUAUCAUUUUUUUCUAUGGGCGCUUGACCAAUGACUUGACAACCUCUUGAACAUCCACACUGGAUCUGUUUUCUCAGUUGUGUUUUGCAUGCAAUUUAAAGAGAUUGUGAAGUUAUUGAUCCUGCGUACAAUGAAUACAGAACUACUAGGUCCAACCGCUAGUAAACGUAUUAACUUAUACACCCGCUUGCACAAAAGUCUGGUAACUUCUAAUUCCGAUUAAAUGCCUCGAUAACCAAUCGGAGAAGCAAGCCUCCUUCUCAAGAAACGCUUCUCUGAUUGGUUCUCGUGGAAGUUGAUCAUGAUUAAAAUGAAAUAUGCUUUUGUGCGACCGGGCCUCAGUUUUAAAUUUAUUCGAUUGCAUGGAUUUACUUCAUCUAAAUAUAAAUCUAUAAACGAUUUAUCAACUUUAUUACUUUUAUUACUGAUAAAUUGAAAAAUAUAAUUCAAUUGACAUUAUUAUAAUGCUGGUUCGUCCAAGAAAUGAAGUUGUAAAGUUGUAUAGAUUAGAUCUGUUGUGCCCUUUCAUUGUAAUUGGAUAAAAAAUGAAUUAUUAGACUAUCAUAAUCAAGUUAUUGAUAAGAGUAUGAAAAUAAGUAUUUAUAUAAAGAUGUAUACACCUACACUUUGAACACGUACACUAUAUAUUACUGAAGUUUUGCUAAACACUUUAGAUAAUAACCUAUUAAGAUAGACUAAAAUAAUGACGAUCCUAUUUGGAAAAUAUUCUUAUUUAUGUAAUAUUGUACUGAAAAUUUUAUAUCAACUUCACUGGAUUGUUUUUUAUUCGCUUGUUUUCAUCGUUGUAUUGUAAGAAUUUUAUAUAAUAUAAAUAGGUACUUCCAAAGUCUUGCUUCGUUAAAUAUUGAAAUUUCAUUUCAUAAAAUUUGUUCAGUUACAGAUUUUAUCAAUAUUGUCACAGUUUGUACGUCUGAACUAUUAUAAUUUAUGAGUUUAUUGGUAUAUUGCCUAAGCGGACUCAGUUGUGAUUGUAAUUUUUAAAGUUUAUUCUGCAUCUUGGGGAUAUUGUAUGAGUUCACAAUUUAGAUGUAACUCAAUAGUUCCAAUGAUAGGCCUAAUUAAUUAAUGUAUGACAAAGUCCUAGAUAGUUUCACUUCACAGAAAUUCCUUUCACAUUUAAUAUUUAAAUUGGUUGUCACAAGUGCAAUAACAAAGGUUAAGUAAACCCAGGAUUACAGUUAACUUAUUUUUUUUUCAAUUUCAUUUCGAUGCUAAUAGAUUAAUUUCUUAUUUCUAUCCCUCUACUAUUAAGAAAUUUCGGUCGGAUUUCCUGUUUGUCUUGAAGGUACUAGUCGUGUUAGGCAAUUCUCGUGAAUUUCUGCUUAACGUCACAAUAAUAUUGUAAAUUUCAAAUCAUACCAAAUUAAUUUCUGAUUCUCUCAUAUCGUUUGCAUAUUAUUUGUUUUAAUUUGCAAUCUUUUGUGAUGAAGUUAGUUGAGAUUUAAACUUUCUCAAUAACGAUUUUAAUCGAUUUUUUGUCAAAAAUCCUUGCUAACAAGUUUAUAAUCAAUUACACCCCUAGAAAAAUUAUAUACUUGUCAUCUUCAUCCGUCCCUUAAUAUGUAAUCGUUUUCUCGCAGUUUUGUUAGUUACAUUUAUGUAUAUUUAUAUUUAUGAUUUUUUUUAAAUCAUCCAAUCAUUCUUGUUACCAAAAUCGACUGUGGUGGAAUAAUCUAGAAUGUGCAAUAAAAUUAUGAUUCUGUCUGGAAUGAAGCUCGGGAGAUUCUGUCAUUAUAAUAUCAUUCCAAUCCGAUGAACUUUUCUAUCGACAUAAAAACUGAGAUAGUUUUAUUUGCAGAAGAAACACUUUAUCGCGUGCAAUUUUCUAAUUGCCUUGUAAAAUCGAUGUUGUAGUUCUAUAUCAUCUCAGUUAUUUUCACCAAAUGAAUUCAUGUGCGAGGGUGGGAUCGAAUGGGAAGAUAACAAUUGAGAUAAUUCAUUAAAUGGAAGAUGAAUGAAUUGAAUAAUGCAAACUAAAAUUAUUUCUCACAUAAUGUGUCAUCCUAUCACAACCAUUGAAUUUCUCGUUCUAUAUUUCCUUCUUUCAACUUGUUAAUCAUAACAAUAAUUCUCUAACUCUUACAUUUCGCCGUUCUUAUUCUCUCAAAACAGAUCAAUUUUAAUUAUUUUUAAUUAUCGUCUCCUAUAUCUGAAACCUUCUAAUAGUAUUCCUUGGAAUAGGCUAUGUCAUUCAAAUUAAUCUGCUACUGUGUUAAUUUUCUCUGGUGAGUUUUAUCAAAGCGAAUCAAUAAUUGAGAAUUGCUAUUUUAUUGUGGAAUAAAUUCAUUUCUUCAGUAGCUUGAUUUUAGUCUGAAUUAAGUUUAUCAACUGUGAUUUCGCUAUUCAAAUUUAAUCUAAUUUUAGGAAUAAUAUGGUUGAGAGAAAAUAUAUAUUUCUGAGUUAGGUAGAUUUUAAUAUUAUAUUCAAUUAUCGUAUAUCAUUCCACAAGAUUCCCUUUCCUAGUAUAUAGAUGAAAUCUAUACUUCCGUUGAAAAUUAAUGAGUUGAAUUAUAAUAUUGAACAUUAUAUUAUCUGUUUUUAGUUAUGUAGUUUACUAACUUGCCUAAAUUAAUUGAAGUGAUUAUUUCUAGAAUAAUAAAUAGAAAUGGUAAAGAUUAUAUAAUACAACUGAUAUUUAUUAUAUUAUACAACUAAGUUUUUUAGGAUUUUGAAGCAUUCCAUAUACAUAUUCUGCAAAAUUGUAUUACUUGUAAUGUGUUAUUUAUAUGAAGAUACUGUAGUAAAUUUAUCGUAUUGUGUGUUUUCUAGUAGGUUAACUUUUAUUGUUUUAUGAGACAAGGGAUGUUCCUUUGUGCUCUGACCAAAACUAGAUAAUUUGUAAAUAAAAAACAUAUCUAUAAUAAUGUAUGCUUCUCGACCAUCUAUUACACUCUGCCUUUUUCUAAAAUAUUCUAUGCCCCACCUGUUUAUAAAAUAUUAAAUAUUUAUAUACUAUAUUAUUUGUAGCAGUAUUUAUUAUCCAUUCUUAUGGAAGAUGGUGUGCAAUUGGUAUCAAUUUACGUGUAAUUAUUGUCGUUAUUUGGUGAAUGAGAUUCCCCAAUUUUUAUUUUUAACUUAUUUUUAGAUUUUUAUGAAAGAAAAUGUAUAGUAAAGUCUCCUUAGAUUAAUUCUUACUUACUCGGAAUUUUACCAUGACAAUAACAUCUUUUAAUUAGUAGAACUGUGAUUGGAUAAUUGAUAUUUCUUAUCAAUUUGCAGUCACCUAUUAUAGUCCUGCGUGAUUAGCAUUAGUUUACUUUUGAUCGAUUCAUUAAUAUCUUGAUCUCUCUUGUACAUAAUAUUUAAUCAAUUCAUCGUAUUACUCACAUUGCCUAUUAGCUGCAAAUUAUAAUAUUUUCCGUUAUUAUUUCGUGAUAGAAUUUAACACAUAUACUCAAAUCCUCUCGAGAAUAUUUGAAGCUUGAUAAGUGUAUUGUCCAAUAUCUAAACUAUACCGGUAUUGAGCUUGUAUAUCGGAGACUUUACUGUGCAUAAAUAAAUAAUUUACUUGUUAGUUAAGAAUCUCUAUUAUUUGUUUGUUUAUAUUUAAACUAACUGUAUUAUUGUGUUAUUUGUUUAGUACUGUGUGUUGUAUAUUACUGUUGAAUUUUAUCUAUAAGUUUAUUAUAUUUCCAAACUACAUAUUUGAAUAAACCUGUAUUGAAACGUUUUAUACUAAUUAAGUAUAGUGCAAUAUAGUCGAAUGACUGUAAAUGUGUAAUCCAUGGACAUUCGUGGGUCAUAAGUAUCUAGUGCCUAUGGGAAUCAUGAGGUAAUUUCAAUUUCAAACUAAUUCAUUGAACUUUUAUUUGUAUCCUCAGUGCAUUUUGUCUAUUUGUAUUGUGUUUUCAUGUCAUAAUUACUACUCUAUUGUUCAGUAAUUCAUUAUGACUAUUUAGGCUACAAUAUUACUAUCGGUUUAAAAUAGCUAACAUUAAUGAGUUAUUCAAUGAAAUAUUAUUAUUCUACAAUGCUAAACGAUUAGUUACUGUAAACAUGCUCCAUUUGCUUUCUGUUUGGUAUUAUUAAUUUUUCAUCACUUUGAUUUUUAUUAUAUGUUUACUUCAUAUUAAUAUUGAUAUCUAUAGAGAGUCUGGUUGCAUGAUUGUUAGUCCAUCUAUUGAAACAAUAAUUUGUGAUUUUUAAAGCAUUAGAAAUAAUUGGACCACAUCGUGGCUGUUCUUGAUUUAUUUAUUUAUUUAUUUAUUCACAUUGUGUACAAAUACUUGACAUGAGGAAAGGCACAACAGGCUCAUGCCUAAAACUGUCCCAUUUCCAAUUUAUACUAUACUGUCCAAAUUAAAAUGUUGGUUAUGUCACUUUCACUUUUCAAAAUACAAUUUACACUCUUCAAUACUCAGAUAAACGAGCAAAUUUUGAAUCAAUUAGAUACUAUUAGAGUCUGAACAGUAACUUAAUUUACAUUUAUAGAAUGUAUAGGAAAAUAAUGAAUUUAAUACUAAACUCGAGUUGAGACUCGAACAAUGUAUUCGUGUUGCCAAAUUGUGCAAAAUUGCCAUCACCUCGCGUAAGCCCAUACGACUAUAUCUGUUCAAUCUGACAACACUGUCAGUCUCAAUGAAUAUAAGCAGGACAACCUAUGUUGGAUAUCCUGAUAUAUAUUGUGACAUAUUGGCUUGUAUGAAAAGGUAGACAUUUUGCAAAAUUAUGCAACACGGAUAUGUGGCACAAGUCUCAACUUGUUCCAUUAUCAUUCAUUAUUUAUACAUUCAUAGGUACAAGAACAUUCUUAACUCAUUAUGAGUUAUUCCGAGUAUAAUUAGAUUUUCUGCGAUUUGAUUGCGAAUUUUGGGAAGUACAUUUGAUUUUUUUAGGGAUAAAACUUGAAUAAUGUCACAAAAUCUUGCACAUAUAACCUGUAGACUCAUCCUUGUUUUUUUAUCAUUACUACUUGUUCAUCUUCAUAGUAGAUCGUUUCUAAUUGUGCUGUUUUUAUCAUUUAGGCUAAACACACACUUAAAGGUGUGUCGACUCAUGUCGAGAGCGUGUGUUUUCAAAUGGUGACGUCGCGGAGACUAGAAUCGACUGGUCUGAGUGUCACCAUUUGGAAACACAUGCUCUCGACUAGAGUCGAGUUUCUUCUCGACCUGAGUCGCGUAAGUGUGAGUUGAGCCUUAGGCUUCAUAACUCUAUAUGACUAUUCAGAUUUCCCAAUGUAUAUUUGGAAUCUUUCAAGCCGUUAGAAAGCUUAAUAGUAAUUUCCUGGUAUGAGAUGUUUUAUUGUUGCGACAAAUUUCAUUUUUUAUUGCCAAAUGCACAGAAAUUUUUGGAACUCUUUGUUUUGGAAGUGAUUGAUUAUUGAAGCUUAAUUUACCAAUUAACAUUGAAUUCAAUUCGUACCAACUUAGUUCUAUGCAGGUUCUGGGACAGUAUAAUUUUGUUUUCUCCUUCUUCCGUGUUAUCGGAUAGCACGUUAUACUGUCGGUCCCAGCUGAAGUAUGACAGUCGUGAGGCCCAUUGACGACUAAAAUUAUAUAUUCAGGUGAGGUGAGACCUUCCCGUAAGGGACUCCCCACCAGCAAAAGCCUUAUGAAUCAACUUAUUUCUACUUCUAGAACCCUAGUACAAUGUGAUGCACUAAUAUAAUAUUUAGCGUUUUAUAAUAUUAAUAAAAUUCAUACUGUCUAAUGUCCCUAAAAUAUUACAAGUUUUAACCUCGCAUUAUCAUCAUUCCACUAAACUUAGAUAUAUCUUUCCCUUAUGAAAUUCAAAAAGGAAGGGCAUCUAGUAUUCGGCGUUGGUAAAAUAAAAAUAUUCUACAAAAACUGAAAUGACGCUUAAGAAUUGAUAAUUUUCUGAUCUCUAUCUGUCAUUUAAUAGAAGAGUGUGUUGUGAGUUUGAAUAACUUGGAAAUCACUCUUCACUAACAAUGGGGAAAAUUGUAUUUUUAUUUUAUAUUCAAGUUAUUUUGUGUGCUUGAUACUCUCAAACUCUAUGAACUAAUAUUGAUAAGAGAAUACAUGCUUUGACAUUUUCAAUUUGAAUUAUGCAUUAAAAGAUUCCACAUUCUUAAUCACAAUUCACAUUUUGUAGCUUAUCGUGGGUAGAGGGUGUAGAGUCUAUAUUGAAUAUUAUACGGUAGAAAAGACAUUUAAAUUUAGUUAGUUGAAUUCUAAUUUUACCGUUUAUUAUUAUUAUUUUUUGUGUACUGCACAGUAUUUUCCAAUUUUGUAGACUGUUUUGCCAAAGUCGUGUAAUAAUAGUUAUUGUAUACAAGUCUAGUGCUUUUCUAGUUUAAAUUAAAUUAUUUUUAGUGUUGAGUUAAUUUAUGUAUUUUAUGUUAAUUAAUGCAUUUUGAAUUGACUGAUUUGGCAAGAAAUUAUUAUAUUGAAAUUUAAGUGUUUCCCUGAAAAUUUUUAAUUGUUCUAUCGAAAUGUGUUAAAACUGUGCAUUAUGUUGAAUGCAAGUCUUCUCUUGUAAUGGUGCAGUAUGAAAAUUCAUGGUAUCUCUAUGUUUGUUCUUUCUAUUGUUUCCUCACUUUCAUUAUUGUUCCCAUAUAGAAAUUUUAUUCAAAUGAUAAUGGUUAAAAUAACCACAUAUAUUAUAUUAAAAAUAUUGUAUUCCAGUAUUAACAGUAAAACUGUACCACAAACUUAUUUUAUCCAAGAGUUAACUGUUGAAAAUUUUAUUAUUCUGGAACAAACUUUAAAACUUUUGUUGUUUCAUUUUAACAGAUUUUAUUGUUAUCUAUCAGUAAUGUAUUAUUUUAAAAGAUGAUGGGGGGUUUCUUGGUAUCCAUUCCGAACUGCGAUGUAUUAGCACACUAUUUUGACGUUUUACACAACGAUCUGCAUUGAAUUAUUUAUGUAAUUAAACAAUUUUUCACCUACUGACUAGAAUACUUUUGACAGUCUGUUGAAAAUGGACGCUUGCCGCCCGAAAGUAGUCCAGCCAGUAAGUGAACAAGAUUGUUUAUUUACAUAAAUAAAUGACUGCAUGUCGUCGUAUAAAACCAGAGAGUAUUUACAAUUUACAUUCUAUAAUCUCUGUAUAUAACAUAAAAUUAGUGUGUACUAUUUUUGUUAUUCAUUAAAAAUUUAUCACUUAACUCAUACAUCAAUUUUCAGUUCUGAGUUUGGACAUCAUGAUCGGUCAAAUUUAAGCUUAUAAUUUGAAACAAUAUUUCCAUUUUCAAAUAAUUUGAAGCUUGUUUUACUUUAUGUUCUAGUUAAUGUCCUAUAGAUUAUAUUUUCCUAUAUUGUUUUCUAUGAUGAUAAUCGAAUUUUAUUUAUUUGUAAUUAAAUUUUUAUAUUCA
rnacentral:misc_RNA from 1 species